ACACGUGCCUCCGAGCAACCACGACAACAGCUAGCCUCCCGCCCGCCCUCCUCUCGCAGCCGCAGCCCGCCUUCAAAGCGGACCAAGGCCCGCGGACGGCGCAGCCAAUAGGCUUUCUGGGGUUUGCUCUCUAGCUAAUGGGAAGACUAUCUUUUUACGCCCUUGGCCAGUAAGAGAGCAGAUGGUGGCCUCAGCGACCUAUGGCAAAGUCCUUUCCCACCCCCUAACGGAGGCUCUGGGAGAGAGAGGAUGCAGGACCAAGACCCGAGAAGAAGCCUGCGUCUGGGCCUGGGUGGGACGGAUUCAGGCGCGCAGCAACAACAGGGUGCCUGGCACAAGGAGAUACUCAGUAAAACUCUCAUCUGCUGUGUCAUUAAGGGGAACACUUAAUGGCUCACGCCUGUAAUCCCAGCACUUUGGGAGGCCGAGGCGGAAGGAUCACCUGAGCCCAGGAGUUGGAGACCAGCCUGGGCAACAGAUUGAGACCCUGUCUCAACAAAGAAGAAGAAGAAGAAAAAGGCCAGGCGCCGUGGCUAAUGUCUGUAAUCCCAGCACUUUGGGAGGCCAAGAAGGGAGAACUGCUUGAGGCCAGGAGUUCGAGACCAGCCUGGUCAACAUAGCGAGACACCCCCCCCAUCUCAAAAAUAAAUAAAUCAAAAUAAAAAAUAAAGAGGAGGCCGGGCUUGGUGGCUCACGCCUAUAAUUCCAGCACUUUGGAAGGCCGAGGUAGGUGGAUCACGAGGUCAGGAGUUCAAGACCAGCCUGGCCAAGAUGCUGAAACCCCAUCUCUACUAAAGAUACAAAAAGUUAGCCGGGCGUGGUGGCACACGCCUGUAAUCCCAGCUACUCGGGAGGUGGAGGCAGGAGAAUUGCUUGAACCUGGGAGAUGGAGGUUGCAGUGAGCCGAGAUCACGCCAUUGCACUCCAGCCUGGGCGACAGGGCAAGACUCCAUCUCAAAAAUAAUAAAUGCCGGGCGCGAUGGUUCAUGCCUGUAUUUCCAGCACUUUGGGAGGCCAAGGCGGGCAGAUCACAAGGUCAGGAAUUCGAGACCAGCCUGGCCAAUAUGGUGAAACCCUGUCUCUACUAAAAAUACAAAAAAAAAUAGCCGUGGUGGUGGGUGCCUGUAGUCCCAGCUACUUGGGAGGCUGAGGCGGGAGAAUUGCUUGAACCCUGGAGGUGGAGGUUGCAGUGAGCCGAGAUCGCGCCACUGCACUCCAGCCUGGCGACAGAGCGAGACUCCGUCUCAAAAAAUAAAAAUAAACAAAUAAAAAUAAA
rnacentral:lncRNA from 1 species